UAUAAUAUUUUGACUAUUUAUCUUAUUUGAUUUUAUUAAUAUUUCUAUUCUUACUAGAUAAUAAAACAUAAAUAGUACUUUAUGCGUGACUAAUUUUUUAAGUUUUUUAAUAAAUUUUUUAAAUAAGACGAAUGGUCAAACCUUGGACAUAGAAA
rnacentral:pre_miRNA from 1 species